AAUGGGCUACAUUAUCUAGCUUAGAUUACACGAAUCACAUUAUGAAAUCUAAUGUGCCUGAAGGAGGAUUUAGUAGUAAAUUAAGAAUAGAGUGCUUAAUUGAAUUAGGCAAUAGGGCGCGCACACACCGCCCGUCACCCUCCUCAACUCAACCUACAAAAAUACUUAAUAAUAUAUCUAAGUAAAGAGGAGAAAAGUCGUAACACGGUAUGUGUACUGGAAAGUGCACUUGGAAUAUCAAAAUG
rnacentral:ncRNA from 1 species